GUAAAAUCCACAGAUAAAGACGAGUAGUGUUGAUAACCGCACAUACUACAUACUAUUGGAUAACUGUAAAUCUAUACUAAAGAUUAAACGUAAAUCUGUGAGCGUCUGUAAAAUAUUAUUAAAAAUGAGCACUAAUAUUAAACGGUUCUGUGUGCCUUAGUGCGAUGAUACAUCUUCAAGGCGGUGUCUAUUUCCUCACAAUCUAAACUUGAGAAUGGUUUGGUUGAAGCGAAUUGGGUGUGAACAUUUAUUGGCAAAACCGGCAGUUCGUAGUUCAUAUAUAUUUAUUUGUACUAGCCAUUUUGCCGAUAUAUGUUUCAAGGAAAACUGAAUGCUAUUAAGAAAUUGUCUGCCAACAAUAGGCCUUCCAGGUAUGUUUAAAUAAGACUAUCCUAUGUCUUGUUUUAAAUAUUACUACAUGCAUGUGAAUAAUUUACGUAUUUUAGUCUUUUCGUAAUAUAUUUAUUUGUAGUAGGCAUUUUCACGAUGUGUGUUUCAAUGCAAACGGGAGACUAAUAUUAAAUUGUCUAAAAACAAAAGGCCUUCCAGGUAUGUUUAAAUAAGACUAUCCUAUGUCUUAUUUUAAAUAUUACUACAUACAUGUGAAUAAUUUACGUAUUUUAGUCUUUUUGUAGUAUAUUUAUUUGUAGUAGGCA